rnacentral:rRNA from 1 species
GUCCACGCCGUAAACGAUGAUAACUAGCUGUCCGGGCACUUGGUGCUUGGGUGGCGCAGCUAACGCAUUAAGUUAUCCGCCUGGGGAGUACGGCCGCAAGGUUAAACUCAAAGAAAUUGACGGGGCCUGCACAAGCGGUGGAGCAUGUGGUUUAAUUCGAAGCAACGCGCAGAACCUUACCAACGUUUGACAUGUCCAGUAUGGUUAGUGGAGACACUUUCCUUCAGUUCGGCUGGCUGGAACACAGGUGCUGCAUGGCUGUCGU